rnacentral:rRNA from 1 species
GGAUUGGAAUGGGGGAACCCUGAUCCACCGACGCCGCGUGUGUGAAGAAGGCCUGCGGGUUGUAAAGCACUUUUAGUGGGGAUGAAAAGCUCAGGGCUAAUACCUCUGGGUCUUGACCUAACCCACAGAAAAAGCACCGGCUAACUCUGUGCCAGCAGCCGCGGUAAUACAGAGGGUGCAAGCGUUAAUCGGAAUUACUGGGCGUAAAGCGUGCGUAGACGGUUAUGUAAGUCGGGUGUGAAAGCCCCGGGCUCAACCUGGGAAUGCCAUUCGAGACUGCAUAGCUAGGGUACGGAAGAGGGAAGCGGAAUUUCAGGUGUAGCGGUGAAAUGCGUAGAUACCUGAAGGAACACCAGUGGCGAAAGCGGCUUCCUGGUCCAGUACCGACGUUCAGGCACGAAAGCGUGGGGAGCAAACAGGAUUAGAUACCCUGGUAGUCCACGCCAUAAACGAUGAGAACUAGACGUUGGGAGGGUAAGCCUCCCAGUGUCGUAGCUAACGCGCUAAGUUCUCCGCCUGGGGAGUACGGCCGCAAGGUUGAAACUCAAAAAAAUUGACGGA